CACGCCCUAAACGAUGCGAACUGGAUGUUGGGUACAUUACGGUACUCAGUGUCGAAGCUAACGCGUUAAGUUCGCCGCCUGGGGANCAACGCGAAGAACCUUACCUGGCCUUGACAUCUGUCGAAUCCUGCAGAGAUGCGGGAGUGCCGCAAGGAACGACAAGACAGGUGC
rnacentral:rRNA from 1 species